AUCAGAUGAGGCCUCUGUUGUGGUGCUGGGAAGGUGGUGCUUGGGCUAUGGAGAAACAAUCCCACAACCUGAAUAAUAGCCUGUGGCCAACAGAAUUCUGUGUCUUUUCUUCCAAGUAAAGCCGGCUACUGGGCAAAUUCCAACUCGGGUGAUCCCAUUGUUUUCAACAUUAAUCAUUCUCAGAAAUAUUGAGUUUUCUAAAGUGUUUUGCCAAGGCGGCCCUUGGAAACCUGUCUAUGCUUCUGGAUGAACCAACCUAAGUCACAUCACUCCAGAUAUCAUGGAGGAUAUCCAUAUGGUUAUAUGGAAUCAUAGAAACUUGUGGACGGAGGAGACUUAGGGAUUAUCUAGUCCAACCUUCUUGAUUUCAGGACUACCACCAGCCUCGCCUUUGUGCUGACAAGACUUCCUGAUACGUCCUCAAGGAUGAUCAAAUGAACUUCAUGACUUGUUUCUGUUUCUGCCCUUGGACGACUUCUGCGGAAAUCAUCUCUAGAUCUUACCUAGUCAAUCCAGGAAAAUCUCUCCUUACACCCUCUGUCUGUUUCAAUUCGGAGGGAGAAAUUGCCUAAUUGGGCCUUGUUCUGUUGCCUCCACCUCCCGGGUUCAAG
rnacentral:lncRNA from 1 species